UUAGUAUAGCAUUGUAUUGUAUACUAUUUGACCGUCAAUAGUAUACUCCCUCAUAAACAAUGAUGAGUAUACCAUUAGUAUACUAUUAUACAUUGUACCCUGCUUGUGUAUAUCAUUAGUAUACCAUUGUACUUUGUAAACUAUUGAGUAUACCAUUAGUAUACCAUUAUACUUUAUCCUGCAAGACUUUAGAAGAAUCUGAUCUUUUUCAUACAUAUCCCUGGUAGAUUAUGUCACGGGAACAAUUGUAGAAAUAAACAAUUAUUUUUGGUCAUCUCUGCUUUGUUUUAUUACAGACAGAAAUUUACAGCCUUCUGUAAUUAAGGGGUUGCUAGGAUAUUUAUUAUUAAUGUGGGGUCUGAGUGCAUUCUCUUAUAAGUUUUAUAAGGAUUAAGAUGUUAAACUGUGGUGAUUCAAAUGGUUUUUAAAGAAAACUCAUGCAGGUUUGAUUUAUUAUCUUUUUAAAAUUGUUAUUAUUAAUCUUCUAAUUAAUGCAACAGUUUUUGUUGUUGUUGUUGUUGUUGUUGUUUUAGAUUCAUGCAUCUUUCUUAUUUUCUUACAUUACAGCAGUAAAUUUUGGAAACAUUUACAGCAAUGAAAAUGUACUUUGACAUUUUCAUAAGAUAUUUUUCAAUCAAAGAAGUAUAAAAUACUUUUUUUUUUAAUAUUAUCUAUGUUUAAAUGUACAAGCUGCAGAUCUCGAAAUCUGACACCAGCUGACGUCGAGGUAAACACCCCGGAUAUCUGUAGGUUGUAGCCUAAACCUGCAUGGGAAGAAGAUUGUUCCAGCCGAAACAUUUUCAUGUAAAAGCAUCAAAUUACACUAAAUCAAAACAAAAUAUUCAUGUUUGAAAGGCUAAUAAAAUUAUUUACAAUAUGUAUUUUAUUUGUUCUUUUAUUGCCUUAUUACCGGAUUCAUAAUCUUGUUAUCUAGCAGCAAAUUGCGAGUACACAUGUACGCUUGCAGAAUGACUGGUAAUAAAGUAUAAACAAUCGAGCUAUAAAUGUUAAUGACUUCUUAUCCAAUCAGAAAGGGGGAAUUUGAAUGCCUUAUAACUUGUGGCAAUACAACACUUCUACGCAAAGAAGUAGUCCCCCUAAGUGUCACCUGUUUUUCUAAAAAAUACGAAAUUUUCAGACAUGCCCCACAUAUCAAUGCAAAAUAUACUUUCUUAACUUUAAUUUAGUUCAAAACUUUUGUUUUGGAAACACUAUUUACCGGGUCGCAUCUGUUUCUGAAAAUAGCAACUUUCGGAAAAACCCAUAGGUCGCGCACGUUUUCAGGUCGGCCGCCAUUUUGAAAUUUGUGAAAACAAUAGGACACACAAUAUCGUCAAAAAUCAAUAUAACUGUUGAUUAAAAAGCUUGGAAACGAUUAAAAAUGAAAUGAUUGUUUAAUCAUAACAUUUGAUAAGACUGAUCAUCGAUAAGUGACCUGACGGCCGACCGGACAAUAAAUUAUCAAGUGCUGGUUUCAUAUUGGAGAUGAUUGCAUGUACGGGCAUUGGGCUGGGAAAAUCAAACCCUGGCGAUUAAAGACUGACUACCCUAAAACCCGAUGAAUGUGGAAGACCUGAAAGACUAUGUGACAGUGUGGUGUAAAAAGAAGUAUGGUGCAGCAAACUGAUGCUAGGCGGAAUCUGGCAAUAACAGAAAGAAUUGGAUAUAUGUCAAUAAGUUUGCCAAAAAAAAGAACAAAUAUUCGGUGAAAAUGACUUCAGUGUAUACUUCUCUAGUGUUAAAUGGCAGUUGCAUUUAAUGGAAUAAUUCUUAUUUUGAAUUUUAUAUAUAUUUAGCAGAUUAGAAAGCUUCAGAGGUAUUUCUAUCAUUCGUUUCUAAUUUGUCAUGUUAAAUCAUAUUCAUGUUAUUAUUUUGAAUUCUGUGAAUUAAAUAAUUUACAAAGAA